rfam:Salmo salar isolate Sally breed double haploid chromosome ssa16, whole genome shotgun sequence.
AAUGCACCAAUUUGUAAGUCGCUCUGGAUAAGAGCGUCUGCUAAGCGUCUGUAA